AGAGUUUGAUCCUGGCUCAGGAUGAACGCUGGCGGCGUGCCUAACACAUGCAAGUCGAGCGAUCUUCUUCGGAAGAGAGCGGCGGACGGGUGAGUAACGCGUGGGUAACCUGCCUCAUACACAUGGAUAACAUACCGAAAGGUAUGCUAAUACAAGAUGAUAUAAGAGAUUCGCAUGGAUUUCUUAUCAAAGCUCCGGCGGUAUGAGAUGGACCCGCGUCUGAUUAGCUAGUUGGUAAGGUAACGGCUUACCAAGGCGACGAUCAGUAGCCGACCUGAGAGGGUGAUCGGCCACAUUGGAACUGAGACACGGUCCAAACUCCUACGGGAGGCAGCAGUGGGGAAUAUUGCACAAUGGGCGAAAGCCUGAUGCAGCAACGCCGCGUGAGCGAUGAAGGCCUUCGGGUCGUAAAGCUCUGUCCUCAAGGAAGAUAAUGACGGUACUUGAGGAGGAAGCCCCGGCUAACUACGUGCCAGCAGCCGCGGUAAUACGUAGGGGGCUAGCGUUAUCCGGAUUUACUGGGCGUAAAGGGUGCGUAGGUGGUUUCUUAAGUCAGGAGUGAAAGGCUACGGCUCAACCGUAGUAAGCUCUUGAAACUGGGAAACUUGAGUGCAGGAGAGGAAAGUGGAAUUCCUAGUGUAGCGGUGAAAUGCGUAGAUAUUAGGAGGAACACCAGUAGCGAAGGCGGCUUUCUGGACUGUAACUGACACUGAGGCACGAAAGCGUGGGGAGCAAACAGGAUUAGAUACCCUGCUAGUCCACGCCGUAAACGAUGAGUACUAGGUGUCGGGGGUUACCCCCCUCGGUGCCGCAGCUAACGCAUUAAGUACUCCGCCUGGGGAGUACGCUCGCAAGAGUGAAACUCAAAGGAAUUGACGG
rnacentral:rRNA from 1 species